UCCCUCAGCAACAACACUGGGUUGUCUCGUGUCGGCUACGGCUAGUCUCGCCUUUGUAAUCCGCCUCCCGGUCUGUGGCGAAGGCGUAAUGUUGUUUUGAGGUUCACAUCGUGCGAUGUCGAUUUUUCCAAACUUGAAUGCCCUCGAGCUUGCGAUAGUCCAGCAGUCGCACCCGCAAGACUUCUGUUCUUACGAGUGCACGCGGCAGACGCAGCAUGACACGACAUCAUCCGCAGGAUGAAUUACCGUCAUUGCAGUCACGUGGCCGCCGUGGGAAACACUCAUGUGUAAUGAAAAUGUUGACAGCGUCGCAGCAGAGAUAUGGCAUUGCUCUUUCAGUUCAAGUGUCCUUGCGGCAAAUGCGUGUCGAUGCCGACGGCAGAAGAAUGCCUUUGUUGCCGCGAAAUGAGACGUUACUGAAGCAGCGCGGUUGCAUUUCAAGAAAUCUUUACUUUGAAAUACUGUGGCUGAAGGCUGAGUUGUUCCAGGUAUCUUACUGCUACGUGAGAGAAAGCGACGAGUACGCUGUUAUCAGGAACAGCAAAGAAGUUUCGGUACGUUGCCUACAAACAGUUUACCAGGUGGCUCUUGGGACCAUUAGGAAAGCACUGCAGAAAAGUCCUCAAAGCAUGUGCUGUACUAUGCCGUGCUUGUAGGCAGCAUUGAAUGCCUCCCAUCUUGACAGAGGUACACUAGAUUGUUUGGUCGUGAACACUGCUUGAUCACAACAGUCAUGCACAAUAGAGAUCUGCCAUAUACCAUUCUGGGAUAACCAGACAGGCACUACACAGUAAAAUACAUUCUACAGACAUCAAAGCUUGUAAUGUUGCUUUAUUGAUCACUGUGUUUGUGAAUGAGCAUACAAGUGAUUGCAGUAAACAAGCAAACAAUGGAGGAGAACAUCCCCAUACUGUCUUCAUAUCAAUUUGCAAGUGCUACCUCGCACCUAUCAGUAACGCAAUGUAUGUAUGCUUUUUUUCUCCUUCUGUUCAGUGCACAGGUGUUUGCCACAAACACGUUCCAGUCCACAAGCUCUGAGAGAACACAGGCUAUCACCUUGCCUAUAAAACAUCUCGAGUUCAUGACUUUAUCAGUAUAAGGCCUCAGGUGGGGUCAUGCGAAUGACAUCAACAGAGGCUUCUUUUCAGAGGCAUCCCUAUCGCAGACAAAAAUUUAGACCUUUUCUGUGCACAUUCAUCUUUACAACACUUUCUCAAUUUCUUAUUAUAAAUUUCCCAUGUUUUCCCUCAUACCAGUCCAAUUGCAGUCAUUGGUGCGGGCUCGGGCAUUUUGCAGCCCGCUACUGUUUCACCGUAGCUCACAUCCUUGCAAGUUGUUGGUGUUUCACUCAGGAGGUGAUCUACAUCCUCUGCGAAGAUAAUAUAUAGCCAUAGCAAAGUGUCUUCCCUAUGCUCUUUACAUCGAAGCACGGUCCCUCAUGGCUGUCAUGGAUGUUGAAAGCGUGCCAGGUCAAACCUAGACACAUUAUCUCGAAGCUUGUAUACACUGUUUCCUGAAUGACAGCUCAUUUAUAUACGUAAGCUCAUACUUCUCCACAUGCUAUGCGGAAGCUCUGCAUUUCCCUCAGAAUUUGAACUACACCUGUAAAGGCGGUUACAAGUAUGCUGCAUCCACGGGUUUAGCUCAGCACAUGCACAGGACUUGACUGCAGCUUCAAGCUUUUUCUUAACCCUCUGUUACAACAUCCUCUUGUGGACUACAUGGCCACUAAGCAUUCCCGAGCAUGGCAAUUGCAAUUGUACAAGCUUGUUCUUUUUACCUUUUACUACAUGUACCUUUUAUGUCAUUGUUGCAGAUAGAAUUAUUAUAACAGAAAACUCAACUCCGCGAAGCCUGUGUGCCUUGUUUUGUAUUAUUUUUUCGUAGCCUCAUUACUUUCUAACAAGAAUUUGG